ACAAUGUUCCAGUUUAUUCUGCUCGGAGCUUGCCUGAUAAGUGCAAGUUUUGCCGAAUCGCCCACGACCAGUACAAGUUCCUCCUCCAGCUCGCCCCCAGACUCAGAGAGAAAACCUACUGUCCCCAAAAAAGUUGAAAUAACCUAUUGUUAUCACGACAAAAAGAAAAUCGAAAUCGGAGCAAAGGUCUACAGGGGAUGCGAGGAAUGCACAUGCACGACCAAGCCCAUGUACAGCUUUAUCUCACCUCAAGGACGACUGGCAUGCAGCGAGGGUACUUUCUGUUGUCUGUUCAUUGACAACGAAGGUAAAACUCAGCGAGCUUACACCGGUGACAAAUACAGUGAUGGUUGUAACACAUGUACAUGUAAAAAGGACAUGACUAAGGAUGACUGCACCCAGCAAAAAUGUAAGAACAUGUGUCGGUACAGGACUUGGGAAAAUGUCGUGAAUUAUACCAAACCGGGAAAAGUUGAUGCGAUGGACGAGGACUGUUCCAAAAAGUGCUGUUCCAAAAAGUGCAGGUGCAAGCGAUCAGGAGAACUUAAGUGCACAGGACGCUGCGCACAACCUUGGUUACUUGGUUAGGUUAAUAAUCUUAAGGCGGGCGAAUUAGUAAUACUAAAUAGCCCUGUGUUAAAGUUUAAACCAAGUUUGAGUUGAUAGGUAGUAAAACAAAAACAAUCUCUCUUAUAAUUAUAAAGUAUGAAUAAUUUUCUUAAAUGUUAAAAAGAAUGAACAAUUUAAAAUAUGUCUUAAGUGGCACAGUCACAAAUAUGUUAUAAAGUUUUUUCAAGCAUGGAAUAUGAAAUGUAUGGUAAAAAAUGUAAUAUCGAUUUACUACAACCAUA